rnacentral:rRNA from 1 species
UUCGUAGGUGGAUUAAUAAGUCAGAGGUGAAAUCCUGCAGCUCAACUGUAGAACUGCCUUUGAUACUGUUAAUCUUGAGUCAUUAUGAAGUGGUUAGAAUGUGUAGUGUAGCGGUGAAAUGCAUAGAUAUUACACAGAAUACCGAUUGCGAAGGCAGAUCACUAAUAAUGUACUGACACUGAGGGACGAAAGCGUGGGGAGCGAACAGGAUUAGAUACCCUGGUAGUCC